UCAAGCUAAAAAGAGCGCAAGGGGAAUGCCUUGGCAUCAGGAGCCGAAGAAGGACGUGACAAGCUGCGAUAAGCUGCGGUGAGGAGCAAAUAUCCUUUGACCCGCAGAUCUCCGAAUGGGGCAACCCGGCUGGACAAUAUCCAGUCAUCCUGCAUUGAACAAAAUAGGUGUAGGAAGGGAACCGUCUGAACUGAAACAUCUAAGUAGGACGAGGAAGAGACAUCAACCGAGAUUCCGCAAGUAGUGGCGAGCGAACGCGGAGGAGGCCAAACCGGAGGAUUUAUUCUCCGGGGUUGCGGACAGUCAUUUAGCAGAAGAUAUCUAACCGAAGGGUCUGGGAAGGCCCACCACAGAGGGUGAGAGUCCCGUAGGUGAAAGAGAAGGCUGUGAGACUGAAUCCAGAGUACCGCAGGACACGUGAAACCCUGCGGGAAACAGGGGGGACCACCCUCCAAGCCUAAAUACUACCUGAUGACCGAUAGAGGAGCAGUACCGUGAGGGAAAGGUGAAAAGGACCCCGGGAGGGGAGUGAAAGAGAACCUGAAACCUUGUGCUUACAAGCAGUCAGAGCACGUUAACGUGUGAUGGCGUACUUUUUGUAGAACGGUCCGGCGAGUUAUAGUAACGAGCAAGCUUAAGGUAUUCAGUACCGGAGGCGCAGCGAAAGCGAGUCUGAAAAGGGCGCAUGAAGUUCGUUGCCAUAGACCCGAAACCGGGUGACCUACGCAUGAGCAGGUUGAAGUGGGGGUGAAACCCCAUGGAGGACCGAACCGACCCCCGUUGCAAUGGUGGCGGAUGACUUGUGUGUAGCGGUGAAAUUCCAAUCGAACUCGGAGAUAGCUGGUUCUCCCCGAAAUAGCUUUAGGGCUAGCGUUAUGUUAGAUUACCGGAGGUAAAGCACUGAAUGGUUUAGGGGCUGAUAAAGUUACCGACGCCUAUCAAACUCUGAAUGCCGGAUAAUUGAUGCACAGCAGUCAGACAGUGUGAGAUAAGUUUCAUUGUCAAAAGGGAAACAGCCCAGACCUACAGCUAAGGUCCCAAAUGUAUGCUAAGUGGAAAACGAUGUGGAAUUGCGAAAACAACCAGGAUGUUGGCUUAGAAGCAGCCACUCAUUAAAAGAGUGCGUAAUAGCUCACUGGUCGAGUGACUCUGCGCGGAAAAUGUAACGGGGCUAAGCAUACAACCGAAGCUUAGGAUUGUCAAAAGACAGUGGUAGGGGAGCGUUCUGUACGGGGCGAAGUCGCAGCGGGAGCAGCGGUGGACUGUACAGAAGUGAGAAUGCCGGAAUGAGUAGCGAGAAUUAUGUGGGAAUCAUAAUGGCCGAAAAUCUAAGGUUUCUUGGGGAAGGUUCGUCCGCCCAAGGUAAGUCGGGAGCUAAGCUCAGGCCGAGAGGCGUAGGCGAUGCACAUACGGUAGAAAUUCCGUAACCACCGAACUUUAAGCAUGAGGGACACUUUGAGAUAGCGGGACCCGGGCGUUGGUAGACCCGGGCGAAAGGGACCGAAAUAUAGUAGGGAAGUCCGCGAUGCUCGGAGGCGAGAAAAGCUCAUGUGUAUACUAAGGUGCCCGUACCGCAAACCGACACAGGUAGAUGAGGAGAGAAUCCUAAGGCCAACGGGAGAAGGGUUGUUAAGGAACUCGGCAAAUUGACCCCGUAACUUCGGGAGAAGGGGUGCUCCAGAGAUGGAGCCGCAGAGAAUCGGCCCAAGCAACUGUUUACCAAAAACACAGGUUUGUGCUAAAUCGAAAGAUGACGUAUACGAGCUGACGCCUGCCCGGUGCUGGAAGGUUAAGAGGAGAUGUGCAAGCAUUGAAUCGAAGCCCCAGUGAACGGCGGCCGUAACUAUAACGGUCCUAAGGUAGCGAAAUUCCUUGUCAGGUAAG
rnacentral:rRNA from 1 species